UUCUCAGUUCGGAUUGUAGUCUGCAACUCGACUACAUGAAGCUGGAAUCGCUAGUAAUCGUAGAUCAGCAUGCUACGGUGAAUACGUUCCCGGGUCUUGUACACACCGCCCGUCACACCACGAGAGUUUGUAACACCCGAAGCCGGUGGAGUAACCUUUUAGGAGCUAGCCGUCGAAGGUGGGACAAAUGAUUGGGGUGAAGUCGUAACAAGGUAGCCGUAUCGGAAGGUGCGGCUGGAUCACCUCCUUU
rnacentral:rRNA from 1 species